AUGGAGAUUCUGAUAAGCGCGUGCUCGAGGAUGUGCCCCGGAGUCUCUCAGGGCCUGCGCACUAAUUGCGCGCACCUGCUGGUAGCAUCCUUGCUGGUGUCCAUGACGAUGUCAAGCUCACCUGUUGCAGGCGGUGUGGACUCCAACGGAACGACAGCAAAACGGUCCUCAUCGCGGUCGUCAUCGUCACCCUCUUCCAGAUGGCCAGGCGCCACCCCACCCAAAGACACUAGUCCCCAUGGUAACACUGACGCUGCCUCAGUGGACGAUGAAGCUCAGGGCAUACAUCUCCUACUGAGACCCCCGGACCUGCUGUCCCCCAGCCACCCCCCUCCUCUGCCCCCCCACAGCCAGCCCACCCUCACCCCGCCCCCGCCCUGGGAACACGCCCCCUCCCUAGAGGAGGCCUGGGGGUCCGGUGACUACCUGGAAACGCUCUCCUUCAUGGGCCCAGAGGGGGAGGAACUGGCCCUGGCCACACCCUUACCCAGUCACACAUACGACCCUGACGACGUGGCCUCCUAUGACACCUCCUUCCCCUCCCGCCCAACCCUCCCCCUGUCCUCCAGCCUCCUCCGACCCUAUACGUCCCCCACCUCCCCCCUCCGGGAGGGUCUCCCCUUUACUCACCCUGCCCAGCCUGAGGGAUACCCUCACUGGGAUGAAGAAGACUAUGACCUGGGGGACAUUUUUCCUCUGGAGCCCACGGAGCUGCUGCUGCCGGAUAUGAACAGUCUGGAGUACUACACUAAUCUGCUGGCCAGAGAGCGAGACGAGGAGAGGGAACGGGAGAGAGAGAGGGAAAGGGAGCGAGAACAGGAGAGAGAGAGGGAAAGGGAGCGAGAAUGGGAGAGAGACAGGGAAAGGGAGAGGGAUCGAGAUGGAGAAAGAGACAGAGAUAGAGAAAUUGUCAUCCCACCCCCAAAGACCACCCCCAAACUUGGCAUCACACCCACCACUACCACAAAAACACACAUACACACUCAGCCCCCAUCCCCCUCCCCUAGCACAGGGCCCCCUCCUGCCCGGGACCACAAGCACCCUCUUGUCCCCUCAGCAGGUCCCACCCCUCCCCUGACCCUCUCACCCACUCUCUGGGAGGGUCAGGGUACCUCCACCCCUGGAGUUAGACCCACCUCCAGAGUACCCCCUCAGCCUCCUGUUCGGCCCAGAGUCCCCCCAGCUACCCCUGGCAGACACCCUCCACUGCCCCCAUCUAACACAACCAGCCUGGCUCGCCCCCCCAUGCUGCGACCUCCAGGGAGGGAACCCAUAAAACCACCACCACCACCACCUGUGACCGAGGUCCCCAGCAACCGACCGACGACCACUACCAAGGCAACCACUGUUACCACGACAACCCCUGGUACCCUGGCGAGCAUCACCCGGACUCCCCCAGCCCCUCCAGGACGCCAGUAUCUGUGUAACGUCACCAAGCCUGACAUGUACCUGGUCAGAGUGGGUAAGACAACACCAGUAGAACUCAAAGUAGACUAGAGAUGGAGGUACAUAUGAGAGGCAAUUGUAUGCCAAUAUUGUAGAUGGGGAUGCAUUGCACUGUUCUGGCCUGUCAAUUGUGUUGUGCUAGGAUCUCAUGGUCACCUGUUUUAAAGGGAGCACAUCCCUUGGUUAACAUAUAGCUUAGGAGUGUGUUUUCAGGGAAUGCGUUGGCAAUAGUUGAAUGCAGGUUGUUUGAGGUUAAACCUGUCUCUUCUUAGUCCUGCCAAAGUCUGGCUCCACUGUGGGCUUUGGCCAGGUCAGGGACAUCUUGAAGAGGGAAUUCAACCGCUCAGUGGAGUUGCAGGUAGGCCUACUAUCAAUACUCACUGGGGAAGCUUUGGGGAAAGAGCAUGAUUGUAAUCAUGAGAUGCAUUGCAGGAAUGUGCAAAUUUGCCCUUCACAAAUGUCUUGAAAGCCAAUCAUGCCUGGCUUCCUUCUCCACUCUCUCCCUCUGCUCUGCUCUCUUCUCCCUCACAACCUCCUCUCCUCCACUCUCUCCCUCUGCUCUCUUCUNNNNNNNNNNUCUCUCUCUCUCUCUCUAUAUAUAUAUAUAUAUAUAUAUAUAUAUAAUGUUCUCUCCCCUCUUCCUGUCCAGAGGUAUGCAGAGUUGGGGAUGUCUCCCUCGUCAAUACAAGGCCUGUCGCAGAGGUGAGACAGAUGUUACUAUACUACCCAAGCUGAAGUACAUUCGGUGAAUGUCAGCCUUUCUAAAAUCUGGUGUAUGUGUGUGUUUCAGGCAGGGCCUGGGUUCAGAGGCCUAUGUUACUGAAGAGGAGCAGUUGCAGGAUUCUGUCUACGCCAACAGGGGGCAGUAUGAAGAGCCUCCCUCCUCCUCCAGACCUCGGCCUGUUGGGGGAAGCACAGGUAAAGGCACCAUGGGUGUGUGUUAAUUGGGAUUAAUGUGUGUAGCUAAUGAUUAGUUACAUAUGGUGUGUUUGUGUUCUCAGGUGCNNNNNNNNNNGCACUGUAUAUAUAUAUAUAUAUAUAUAUAUAUAUAUAUAUAUAUAUAUAUAUAUAUAUAUAUAUAUAUAUAUAUAUAUAUAUAUAUAUAUAUAUAUAUAUAUAUAUAUAUAUAUAUAUAUAUAUAUAUAUAUAUAUAUAUAUAUAUAUAUAUAUAUACAGUGCCUUGCGAAAGUAUUCGGCCCCCUUGAACUUUGCGACCUUUUGCCACAUUUCAGGCAAUAACGCCCAAUUUUUCAGUUUUUGAUUUGUUAAAAAAGUUUGAAAUAUCCAAUAAAUGUCGUUCCACUUCAUGAUUGUGUCCCACUUGUUGUUGAUUCUUCACAAAAAAAUACAGUUUUAUAUCUUUAUGUUUGAAGCCUGAAAUGUGGCAAAAGGUCGCAAAGUUCAAGGGGGCCGAAUACUUUCGCAAGGCACUGUAUAUAUAUGAAUCAAUCCUGCUAUAGGACUCAUUGAGACCAGCAGGUCUCGAACGACUAAAAUGAACGAGUCACUCAGAAGUGAAAGAGAUUGAGUGAGUCGUUAAUUUACAUCAUUCGUUUGACCUGCUGGUCGCAAUGAGCCCUAUAGCAGGAUUGAUUCACGCUCCUCCGGCUCAGAGGCUCCAGAGACAUGGUGGUCAGACCACUUGUCUGUCAUAUAUUGGCACAAGGAAGUAGAUCAUGAUGCAGGCAGCAUAGAGAAGAAAAAUACAUGUUCAGAACUGAUCAUUGAUCUCCUGAAUGAACUGAAUGUUGUGAUGACACAGCUUUGUAGAACCAAAACAUACACCGCCUCUGCUCAACAAAUUUGUUUAGGGGGGGGGGCAGUUUGAACGAUAUUGUGGCAGUCAAGCAAUGCAUUCCCCCAGGAGUCGUAUGCCUAGCAAUCUACUAAAUAGACAUAGUUUAAAUCAAACUUUUACAAGUCUGUCACAAAAUG
rnacentral:lncRNA from 13 species